UAGGGAAUAUUAGAAAUGGACGAAAGUCUGAUCUAGCAACACCGCGUGUGCGAAGAAGGCCUUCGGGUUGUAAAGCACUUUUUGGAAGGAUUAGGAAGGAAUGUACUUCAAGAAUAAGUCUCGGCUAACUACGUGCCAGCAGCCGCGGUAACACGUAGGAGGCAAACGUUAUCCGGAUUUACUGGGCGUAAAGUGCGUGUAGGUGGUUCUGUAAGUAGGGCGUGAAAGCUCCUGGCUCAACUGGGAGAGGCCGUUCUAAACUGCAGAGCUAGAGGAUGGUAGAGGGAGGUGGAAUUCCGGGUGGAGCGGUGGAAUGCGCAGAUAUCCGGAGGAACACCAGUGGCGAAAGCGGCCUCCUGGACCAUUCCUGACACUCAGACGCGAAAGCUAGGGUAGCAAACG
rnacentral:rRNA from 1 species